GACUUUGGACUCCAAUCUUGUUUCUACUCUUCUGCCAGCUAUCCGCAUCUCCUUAUCCAUUCCAUCUUCUCCUAAUUAUCCACAACAUUUGCCCUCAUCUCUUAAUACUCGAGAGUCCAUGAUGGGAGGCCAACUGCUAGCAGAUCUCUAUCAAUCAGUUUAUAUUUUGGUGAAUGUGGAUGAUAUACUCAUUACUGGAAUCAUCCAAACUUGAUUGCGCAAGUCAUCAAUUCUUUGGCUAGCAGGUUCUCCCUAACGAAUCUUGGCGAACUCAAAUAUUUCUUGGGAAUAAAAGUUAAGCAUGUUCAAAAUGGAAUCAUCUUGUCGCAAGGUCGAUACAUUCUUGAGAUUUUAUGAGAUGUGGAAACCUGCCUUUCUUCGCUGUCUAUCCAAAAUAGGUGUGGUGUAACAACACUUAACUUGAGGGGGUUGUAUUGAGAUAAAUAUGUUAGCUGGUUAUCUAUUUGUUAGCAAGUAUUUAAAUUCAUUUGAAUAAGUCAACUAAUCACAUUUUGUAAAUAAGAUUAAGUUGUUAGAGUAGUUUCUUAAAGUUAGUCAAGUUAGUUUCCUUAAAAUUAGUCAAGUUAAUUUCGUUUAAGUUAGUCGAGUUAAUUAUAAUUACUUGUAUUUAAGUAGAUUGAAGCUAUAAAUAAAAUCAUUCAAGUUUACUUUUAA